UACAGAGGGUGCGAGCGUUAAUCGGAAUUACUGGGCGUAAAGCGUGCGCAGGCGGUUUUGUAAGUCUGAUGUGAAAUCCCCGGGCUUAACCUGGGAAUUGCAUUGGAGACUGCAAGGCUAGAAUCUGGCAGAGGGGGGUAGAAUUCCACGUGUAGCAGUGAAAUGCGUAGAGAUGUGGAGGAACACCGAUGGCGAAGGCAGCCCCCUGGGUCAAGAUUGACGCUCAUGCACGAAAGCGUGGGGAGCAAACAGG
rnacentral:rRNA from 1 species